rnacentral:tmRNA from 1 species
GGGGAUGUAAUGGUUUCGACAGGAGUUAGGUAUAUUAUUUUGCAGUGGUGUAGUAGACCAUAAUUACUUUAGGCUUUUCAAUAAACGGAAAAGAAAACAAAUCAACAGAAGACUACACAAAUUUAAUGUCUUCACAAUCAUCAAAUCUAGUUUUUGCUUAGAAUAUAGCAUCUAGUCGCUUCUAAUGAUCCCUUUAAUUUAGAAAGUGUCGUCAAGAGGGUAUGUAGAUGGAUUCAAUUAAAAUCUAAUGAAUAAGUAAUUGACUUUCAUUUUAUUUUCUUGAUUGUUCUAAUAAAAUAGAAAUGUAUAUAAGAAUAAUCUAAACUGUAGACAAAUAAUAUUUCUUAAUUUUUGGACCGGGGUUCGACUCCCCGCAUCUCCACCA